rnacentral:rRNA from 1 species
UGUUUUGAUCCUAGAUAUUGCAUUGCUUGUAAUUAUAAUUAUACAUGCUAGUCUCCACACACCUGUGAGUAGGGCCCACCGGAGCCGGUAUCAGGCACACCCCAUGGGGCAGCCCAAGACGCCAAGCCAUGCCACACCCACACUGGGUCGCAGCAGUAAUAGACACUAAGCAAUGAGCCCAUAACACUUGACUUGGUAAUAAUUACCUUUUUAGGGCCGGUAAACCACGUGCCAGCCACCGCGGUUAUACGAGGGGCCCCAAACAAUGUACUUCGGCGUAAAAUGUGGCUAAAGAAUGGUUAAAAGUAGAGGGCAUAAACCUAAUAAAGUUGUAAAAUACACAGUACACCAGGCAAAUCUUUACCCUCACCAAAUAACUCACAUGACCCCACGAAAACUGGGGCACAAACUAGGAUUAGAUACCCUACUAUGCCCAGUCGUAAACUAUGAUGCACCAACAUCCGCCAGAGAAUUACAACCACCAGCUUGAAACUCAAAGGACUUGACAGUAUCUCAUACACCCCUAGAGGAGCCUGUCCUAUAAUCGAUAACCCACGAUAUACCUCACCCGUCCUAGCACAACUCAGCCUAUAUACCUCCGUCGCCAGUCCGCCUGCUAACAGACACCAAAGCGCAUAUAAUAGUCAACCACUAACACGACAGGUCAAGGUGUAGCUAAUAGACUGGACAGAGAUGGGCUACAUUUUCUAUAUUAAAAAAUACCCACAUACUAUGCAAACUGUACAAAAGGUGGAUUUAGCAGUAAGUGGGACAAGACGAGCUCACCUGAAGCCAACCAUGAGAUGUGU